UACGUAGGGUGCGAGCGUUGUCCGGAAUUACUGGGCGUAAAGAGCUCGUAGGUGGUUUGUCGCGUUGUCCGUGAAAACUCACAGCUUAACUGUGGGCGUGCGGGCGAUACUGGCGUGCUUGAGUGCGUGAGGGGUGACCGGAACGAGUGGUGUAGCGGUGAAAUGCGUAGAUAUCACUCGGAAGGCCAACGGCGAAGGCAGGUCACUGGUGCGCAACUGACGCUGAGGCACGAAAGCGUGGGGAGCAAACAGG
rnacentral:rRNA from 1 species